AAGCAAGCCAGCACACUCAGGACUGGAAGAGAAAGGAGGAACUUGAGCUUUCUUAUCAAAGCACAAGAGAGGAAAAGAAGGUUAUUUCAGGACCUUUGCAUAUCAGGGAAGACUUGGCGAGGAGGUCUGUGUUUUGAUCUAGAAAAAAGAAAAAAAAAGAAGAAGAAGAAAGAAGAACUGGGGAGGUGUGAGGUGGAGCCCAAGGGAAGGGGAUGAGUCAUCCAAAUGUGGUCAGGAACAAAUGCACUGUCAUCCAGACCAUCUCAGCUCGCACCUGGAAAGUGCCAACCCUGGAUUCUCGUCCUUUUUCUACUCCUGUAGGACUUGGGAUGCUGCCAUCAUGAUGCCAGCAAUGAAGGAUAAAAGAAGAGGCAGCAGAAGCAUAGGGC
rnacentral:lncRNA from 1 species